rnacentral:rRNA from 1 species
GUGGGGAAUAUUGGACAAUGGGCGAAAGCCUGAUCCAGCCAUGCCGCGUGUGUGAAGAAGGUCUUCGGAUUGUAAAGCACUUUAAGUUGGGAGGAAGGGCAGUAAGUUAAUACCUUGCUGUUUUGACGUUACCAACAGAAUAAGCACCGGCUAACUUCGUGCCAGCAGCCGCGGUAAUACGAAGGGUGCAAGCGUUAAUCGGAAUUACUGGGCGUAAAGCGCGCGUAGGUGGUUCAGCAAGUUGGAGGUGAAAUCACCGGGCUCAACCUGGGAACUGCCUCCAAAACUACUGAGCUAGAGUACGGUAGAGGGUAGUGGAAUUUCCUGUGUAGCGGUGAAAUGCGUAGAUAUAGGAAGGAACACCAGUGGCGAAGGCGACUACCUGGACUGAUACUGACACUGAGGUGCGAAAGCGUGGGGAGCAAACAGGAUUAGAAACCCGUGUAGUCC